rnacentral:lncRNA from 1 species
AGGAAUACAUGGCUAUUUAUAGGGCUUCUAAACCCUAAAUCCUAAUAGGACUCCUACUUAAGACUCUUACUUCUAUAGGACUCCUACUCAAGACUCCUAUUCCCUUACAACUCCUAAUUCUUCUCUAAGAAAAAACCUCCUACAUGAAUGCCCCUCUCAAUUAGGACUCUCAUAGCUAGAGUCCUAACAGAAUGUCCCUCUCAAUUAGGACUCUCUUGGCUAGAGUCCUAAUAGUUUUACAUAUGUCUCUCUCAAUUAGGACUCUCCAAGUUAGAGUCCUAACAGACCCGCCCUCUUCAAAUCAGCCUUGUCCUCGAGGCUGAUGAUUCGUGAAUUCUAGAAAUUUGAUCUUCAAGUCGUCAUAGUUUUCCCAAGUGGCAUCUUCUAUUGGUAGGUUCGCCCACUGUAUUAGCACUUCAUUAGUGGGUCGUCGUCGUCGAGUCACGAUCCGUCGAUCAAUAAUGGCACUUGGCUGGGUCUGGAGUUCUUUUUGGGUAGUCAUAUUUGGUGGGUGGCUUUGGGCUGUCUCUAAGCACCUAUUUAAAACUUUCGUCUGACUAUUGGUUUGUGGGUGAUAUGUCGUACUCUUUUUCAAUUUAGUACCCUGCAUAUGGAAUAACUUUGUCCAAAAUCUGCUCUUGAAGAUGCAAGUAGAAUUUGUCACAAGCACAAUGCGUCCCUUAUAGCAUAAUUCUUUUGAGUCCCGAUUGUAAUGAGCCACGGAGCUUGGUGCUUCCUCUAAUUUUUUUUGUAUCUUACUGGUCUCCGAAUCUUCCUGCCAUUCCAUCUUAAUAUCCUUAAGGAAGUCGCUGGUUGGAAGUAAAACGACUGAAAAUUCAGCUUGCUCAGGUAGCUGCGAAAGCGCAUCUGCAACAACAUUUUCUUUCCACCUUUUGUAAGUUAUUUCAUAAUCAAAUCCAAGAAGUUUUGUUACUCAUUUUUGCUGCUCGGGGGAAGAUAUCUUCUGCUCCAAGAGAUAUUUUAGGCUUUUAUGGUCGGUCUUGAUUUGAAAGUAUCGCCUGAUCAAGUACGAUCUCCACCUCGUUGCUGCGUGCACAAUGGCGAGCAUCUCCUUAUCAUAUAUUAACAUGUUUUGAUAGGGGGGAGACAAUGUCUUGCUAAUGUAUGUGAGUGGUCGACCAUCUUGCAUGAGAACGUCUCCCAUUCUGCCUCUAGAUGCAUCGGCCUUAAUGACGAAGGGUCGGUUGAAAUCUGGUAGCACUAGCAUCGGCGUCGUCGUUAUGGCUGCCUUAAGUUUGUCGAAGGCAGUGGAGGCUCUGUUCGACCAUUGGAAGAUAUCUUUUUCCAGUAAGGAAGUAAGUGGUGCACUGAUCUUUCCAUAGUUUUUCACGAACUUACGGUAAUAGCUUGUUAAACCCAAAAAGCCAUGUAGCAAUUUUAUGUUCCUCGGGGUAGGCCAGUUUUGCAUUGCUUCAAUUUUGAAGGGGUCCACCGUCACACCUUCCUCUAAUAUGAUAUGCUCAAGAUAUUUCAUCUUUUGUUGAAGAAAGUAAAAAUUCGUAGUGGCCGUUGUGUGUUCGAAAGGCGGUUUUCGGUAUGACUUCUUCAUACACUCGUAUUUGAUAAUACCCGGAUCGAAGGUCCAGCUUUGUGAAGAUUUGUGGUCCUUUUCAUCUAGCAAUUCAUCUGCUAUUGGAAUAAGGUAUUUGUUCUUGAUGGUUAUGCCAUUGAGAGCUCGGUAAUCAACGCAUAUUCGUCAUGUUCCGUCCUUCUUGUGUACAAGUAGCACCGGUGAAAAGUAGAGGUUGCAACUUGGCCGAAUAACUCCUGUUUCAAGUAUCUCUUUUAAAAUCCUUUCUAUUUCAUCAUUCUGGAGAUGUGGAUACCGAUAUGGCUGAGUAUUUGCUGGAGAUUUGACUGGAAAAAUCAUUAUACAAUGAUCAUGCCGACGAGUAAGAUGUAGGUUGUGCGGCUCAUUAAAUAUAUCUGAAAAUUCAGCAAGCAAAGGAAAUAGGUUUGGAACUUCAAAUUCUAUUGGCUCUCCUUUAAUUUGUUGCUCAAGUUGUACCAAAAAGCCCCUACAUGCUUUAUGCAAAACCUUCUCCAUUUGUUGUGUGCAAAUCAUCGUUAUGUCGCCCGCACGUUUCCCAUGCAGUAUCACCUGUUUCUCCUUACUGUAAAAUUUUAUAAAUAGUUGCAUAAAAUUCCAAGAUAUAUCACUUAAUGUCAUCAACCAUUUAAUUCUGAGUGUGGCCUCAUGAUCAUCAAGAGGGAGGAGGACGAAAUCUGCAAUUAUCUCUUGGUCCUGCAACAACAGUUUCACCUGCGGGCACCUAUGAACACACUUCAAAAUCCGUCCGUUGGCGACCUUAACGACAAACCUGCUGCAAUUCUCAAUAGGUAAGUUCAUAUAGACAGCAACCUUACUGUUUAGGAAGUUAUUAGUGCUGCCCGUGUCGAUGAGAACAGUGAUCGGUUGUUGUUUGAGAAGGCCUCCAACUUUUAUCGUUUGUGGGAUUGAGUAGCCAACUAGUUUAUGUACCGUAACUUUGGUCGAUUGUGGCUCUUCUUCUGCAUCUUCUUCUUCAUGUUCAAGGCUCUCUUUUGGAUGUUCAAUGACCUCUUCUUCUAUCGGUUCAAUCAUAAGAAGUCCCCCUUUACUACAGCGAUGCUCAUGGCUCCACGGCUCAUCACAAUGCCAACAUAACCUCUUCGCAUAUCUCUCCCGAAGCUCUUCUCUUGUUAAUCUCUUUGGUGUAGGGACUUGGUUGAAAGUGGGGGGGCUAAGGGCUUCAAUAUUACUGGUUGAGGAGCGACCCUAGUCCUCCGAGCUUCAUGGUUCAAUUGCUCCUCUUGAUGUCGUGCGAAAGAGAUGGCUGCCAUAAGCGUAUACGGUUGUCGCGCUUUAACUUCUCCUCGGAUCUCCGGCUUUAAGCCCUCAAUGAAGGUUCUCAAUAGCUGUUUUUGAGACCAAUCAUGAGUUUGAUUAGAUAACCUUUCAAACCUGGUUUGGUACUCCUGAAUGGUAGAGGUUUGUCGGAUCUUUGCUAGUUGUCCGUCAAUAUUCUCGUAAUCGGUUGGUCUGAAGCGGAUCAGCAGUCCUUCUUUGAAUUGUCGCCAUGAAAGGACUCCAUAAGUAUGUUCAAACCAGUCAAACCACUGUAUAGCAUCCUCUUCAAGAUAUAUAGCUGCAAUUUUCACCAUAGAUGCAUCCGUGAUUUUAUGGUACCGAAAAUAUCGCUCCGCGCGCGAGAUCCAACCAAUUGGGUCUCCUUCUUUCCAUCUAGGGAAGUCCACUCUCAUGCAUGGAUAGUUGGGGUUGGUCAUAGAGCUUCCCCUCUCUUGGAAGUCAUAUCUUUGGGCUUGGUGUGAUUGGGCAAAGCUCUCUCCUUGACAUGUUUUCUUCGGGCUUAGUGGUCGGCCCAAUCUGAGUUCGGUAAAGAGCGUCCGAAUCUUAUCCUCCAUUCGCGCCUCCAAGGCUUCGAAUUUAGCAUUGAUUGCCUCCUUAGAUGCCAUAGUAUAUGCCUCCAAAUCUAUGAUGUUAAGAUCUCUCUUUUGUUGUUAAGUUCAAGGCAUGUAUAGGUUGAAAGAAGUGAUGGUCGAAAGGGUUGGUGUAUUGGUGGAUGUAGGCUGCGGUUUAGGCUUGUUUUGUGGCUAUUUUGGGUGCAGUUUGAGGGUGUGGUUUGGCAGAGUUUUAGGGCUGUGGAUGAAAGUUUUGGAUCUGUGGUAGAUGGUAGCAAAUGUUUGAUAGAAAUAAGUGGCAGUUGCAGCAAGUAUGUGCUGUCUUGUAAGAGCAGAAUUGUCGUCGAAGAAACAACGGUUUCUCGACGUAAUUUCCACCAAAAACUUGAGAAUUGCGGAGAAAAUUGAUAGCAAAAUCACAGUUUAUAUGACAGCAAGGAUAUCUAAUUUAAUCAAGAAAAUUUUGGCAGUAUAACAGCAAGGAAAUUGGUGCAAGUUGCGAUAGCAGAAUUCUCGUCGAGAAAUUUCAACGGGUUACGAUGAAAAUUUGCAGCAACACAAAAUCAUUUUUUUGAGAUGAAUUUUUUUAUAGAUCAAUCUUAGAUGGAAGCCAAGAUGAUAUAUAAAGUGUAUAAGAAAUUUCAUUCAAAAAAGAUUGCAAAUAGAUGGGUUAAGGCAAUAAUAUGCCGCUGAAAUUUUCUGCAGCACAGAUUUUUAAGUAUAGCAGAUUGGACGUAAAAGAUCAGUAGUUUAUAUUGAGAAUUUUUUGAUAAAACCAAAGGUAAAUCAACUGUUAGGAAGUGUCAAAGCUAUCAUAAAAAUUUCGUAGAGAUUUGGAUAGAAACAAUAUAGUAUCAAGAUCAAACAAACAGUGCUNNNNNNNNNNNNNNNNNNNNNNNNNNNNNNNNNNNNNNNNNNNNNNNNNNNNNNNNNNNNNNNNNNNNGGGAAAUCUGCUGUUAGGAAGUUUCAAAGAUGUCAUAAAAAGUUUAUAGAAAUUUGGAUAAAAAAAGCACGGUAGCAAGAUCAAACAGAUGGUACUAUGCGGUUGGAAUUCUGUAAUGUAUCUUUCGUCGUAGAGAUGAAAACUUUGUGACGAAAGGUUUAUGUAGCAAUAUAGGAACAUUUUUUUUUUUUGAUUUUCGAAUAAGAAUAACUAAAUUGUAGUAGCAGUAAGGUAGGAAACCAGAACCUGUUGCAAUUCGCGGGGAGAUCAAAGGAUGAUCCGCGGUGGUGGAGAUGAUGGCGGAAUUCGGCGACGAUCUUUUAAGCAAUUGUGGGAAUUGCUUUAGGCGGUUGUGGAGGGCCUGAUGGAUGGCAGUGGAAGGGCAGCGAGAUGCCAAGAACGCUGCUCUGAUACCAGGUGUUAGAACCCUUGCAGAUUCUAAACUUAGGAUUGAUCUCUUUAGGGGAUCGGCCUCCUUGGAACUCUAUAGGGGUUCCUCCCUCCAAGUUGCUGCUCAAAGGCUGCAGAAAAGAUUCAUCUAUUGCCUAAGAAAAGAGAAGGAAUACAUGGCUAUUUAUAGGGCUUCUAAACCCUAAAUCCUAAUAGGACUCCUGCUUAAGACUCUUACUUCUAUAGGACUCCUACUCAAGACUCCUAUUCCCUUACAUCUCCUAAUUCUUCUCUAAGAAAAAACCUCCUACAUGAAUGCCCCUCUCAAUUAGGACUCUCAUAGCUAGAGUCCUAACAGAAUGUCCCUCUCAAUUAGGACUCUCUUGGCUAGAGUCCUAACAGUUUUACAUAUGUCUCUCUCAAUUAGGACUCUCCAAGCUAGAGUCCUAACAGCUGGAUGAUGGUUGCAAC